GACGAACGCUGGCGGCGUGCUUAACACAUGCAAGUCGAGCGGUGCGGCGAACGGGUGAGUAACGCGUGAGUAACUGCCCCCCUCUCUGGGAUAUCAGUUGGAAACGGUUGCUAAUACCGGAUAGUGGGGGAUGACUCGCGUCCUAUCAGCUUGUUGGUGGGGUAGUGGCCUACCGCGGCGACGACGGGUAGCCGGCCUGAGAGGGCGACCGGCCACAUUGGGCUAAGAUACGGCCCAGACGCGUACAGGGGGCAACGGUGGGGAAUAUGGCGCAGUGGGGGAGACCCUGAUGCAGCAACGCCGCGUGCGGGAUGACGGCCUUCGGGUUAUAAACCGCUUUCGGCCAUGACGCGGUAGUGGCAGAAGAAGCACCGGCUAACUACGUGCCAGCAGCCGCGGUAAUUC
rnacentral:rRNA from 1 species